AUUUCUCUGAGAUGUUUGCAAGCGGGCCAGUCCCCUGAGCCGAUAUUUCAUACCACAAGAAUGUGGCGCUCCGCGGUUGGUGAGCAUGCUCGGUUCGUCCGAGAAGCCUUAAAACUGUGACGACACAUUCACCUUGAACCAAGGGUUCAGGGGUUACAGCCUGCGGCGGCAUCUCGGAGAUUCC
rnacentral:other from 1 species